rnacentral:rRNA from 1 species
AUUGAACGCUAGCGGGAUGCUUAACACAUGCAAGUCGAACGAGUGGCGGACGGGUGAGUAAUAUAUCGAAACGUGCCCAGGCGCGGGGGAUAACUACUCGAAAGAGUGGCUACUACCGCAUACUAUUGGCGCGGCCGAGAUCGGAUUAGCUAGUUGGUGGGGUAAAGGCUCACCAAGGAAACGAUCCGUAGCUGGUGUGAGAGGACGACCAGCCACACUGGGACUGAGAAACGGCCCAGACUCCUACGGGAGGCAGCCGUGGGGAAUUUUGGACAAUGGGGGAAACCCUGAUCCAGCCAUCCCGCGUGUAUGAGAAGGCCUUCGGGUUGUAAAGUACUUUUGGCAGAGAAGCGGUAUCUGCAGAAUAAGCACCGGCUAACUACGUGCCAGCAGCCGCGGUAAUAC